AGUGAACGCUGGCGGUAGGCCUAACACAUGCAAGUCGAACGGCAGCACAGUAAGAGCUUGCUCUUACGGGUGGCGAGUGGCGGACGGGUGAGGAAUACAUCGGAAUCUACUUUUUCGUGGGGGAUAACGUAGGGAAACUUACGCUAAUACCGCAUACGACCUACGGGUGAAAGCAGUGGAUCUUCGGACCUUUCGCGAUUGAAUGAGCCGAUGUCGGAUUAGCUAGUUGGCGGGGUAAAGGCCCACCAAGGCGACGAUCCGUAGCUGGUCUGAGAGGAUGAUCAGCCACACUGGAACUGAGACACGGUCCAGACUCCUACGGGAGGCAGCAGUGGGGAAUAUUGGACAAUGGGCGCAAGCCUGAUCCAGCCAUACCGCGUGGGUGAAGAAGGCCUUCGGGUUGUAAAGCCCUUUUGUUGGGAAAGAACAGCAGCAGGUUAAUACCCCGCUGUUCUGACGGUACCCAAAGAAUAAGCACCGGCUAACUUCGUG
rnacentral:rRNA from 1 species